CCUACGGGGGGCAGCAGUGGGGAAUAUUGCGCAAUGGGCGAAAGCCUGACGCAGCGACGCCGCGUGAGGGAUGAAGGUCUUCGGAUCGUAAACCUCUGUCAGCAGGGAAGAACGGUCACUGUGCUAAUCAGCAGUGAAUUGACGGUAACUGCAAAGGAAGCACCGGCUAACUCCGUGCCAGCAGCCGCGGUAAUACGGAGGGUGCGAGCGUUAAUCGGAAUUACUGGGCAUAAAGCGCACGUAGGCGGUAUGUCAAGACAAGGGUGAAAUUCGCGGGCUCACCGUGGGAACUGACUUUGAAACUGGCAAACUCGAGUGUGUGAGAGGAAUGUGGAAUUCCAGGUGUAGGGGUGAAAUCCGUAGAUAUCUGGAGGAACAUCAGUUGCGAAGGCGACUAUCUGGCAC
rnacentral:rRNA from 1 species